rnacentral:rRNA from 1 species
UUAAGUUAUUAAGGGCGCACGGUGGAUGCCUUGGCACUAGAAGCCGAUGAAGGACGUUACUAACGACGAUAUGCUUUGGGGAGCUGUAAGUAAGCUUUGAUCCAGAGAUUUCCGAAUGGGGAAACCCAGCAUGAGUUAUGUCAUGUUAUCGAUAUGUGAAUACAUAGCAUAUCAGAAGGCACACCCGGAGAACUGAAAUAUCUUAGUACCCGGAGGAAGAGAAAGAAAAUUCGAUUCCCUUAGUAGCGGCGAGCGAAACGGGAAGAGCCCAAACCAACAAGCUUGCUUGUUGGGGUUGUAGGACACUCUAUACGGAGUUACAAAGGACGACAUUAGACGAAUCAUCUGGAAAGAUGAAUCAAAGAAGGUAAUAAUCCUGUAGUCGAAAAUGUUGUCUCUCUUGAGUGGAUCCUGAGUACGACGGAGCACGUGAAAUUCCGUCGGAAUCUGGGAGGACCAUCUCCUAAGGCUAAAUACUCUCUAGUGACCGAUAGUGAACCAGUACCGUGAGGGAAAGGUGAAAAGCACCCCGGAAGGGGAGUGAAAUAGAACCUGAAACCGUGUGCUUACAAGUAGUCAGAGCCCGUUAAUGGGUGAUGGCGUGCCUUUUGUAGAAUGAACCGGCGAGUUACGAUUUGAUGCAAGGUUAAGCAGUAAAUGUGGAGCCGUAGCGAAAGCGAGUCUGAAUAGGGCGUUUAGUAUUUGGUCGUAGACCCGAAACCAGGUGAUCUACCCUUGGUCAGGUUGAAGUUCAGGUAACACUGAAUGGAGGACCGAACCGACUUACGUUGAAAAGUGAGCGGAUGAACUGAGGGUAGCGGAGAAAUUCCAAUCGAACCUGGAGAUAGCUGGUUCUCUCCGAAAUAGCUUUAGGGCUAGCCUCAAGUGAUGAUUAUUGGAGGUAGAGCACUGUUUGGACGAGGGGCCCCUCUCGGGUUACCGAAUUCAGACAAACUCCGAAUGCCAAUUAAUUUAACUUGGGAGUCAGAACAUGGGUGAUAAGGUCCGUGUUCGAAAGGGAAACAGCCCAGACCACCAGCUAAGGUCCCAAAAUAUAUGUUAAGUGGAAAAGGAUGUGGCGUUGCCCAGACAACUAGGAUGUUGGCUUAGAAGCAGCCAUCAUUUAAAGAGUGCGUAAUAGCUCACUAGUCGAGUGACACUGCGCCGAAAAUGUACCGGGGCUAAACAUAUUACCGAAGCUGUGGAUUGUCCUUUGGACAAUGGUAGGAGAGCGUUCUAAGGGCGUUGAAGCAUGAUCGUAAGGACAUGUGGAGCGCUUAGAAGUGAGAAUGCCGGUGUGAGUAGCGAAAGACGGGUGAGAAUCCCGUCCACCGAUUGACUAAGGUUUCCAGAGGAAGGCUCGUCCGCUCUGGGUUAGUCGGGUCCUAAGCUGAGGCCGACAGGCGUAGGCGAUGGAUAACAGGUUGAUAUUCCUGUACCACCUAUAAUCGUUUUAAUCGAUGGGGGGACGCAGUAGGAUAGGCGAAGCGUGCGAUUGGAUUGCACGUCUAAGCAGUAAGGCUGAGUAUUAGGCAAAUCCGGUACUCGUUAAGGCUGAGCUGUGAUGGGGAGAAGACAUUGUGUCUUCGAGUCGUUGAUUUCACACUGCCGAGAAAAGCCUCUAGAUAGAAAAUAGGUGCCCGUACCGCAAACCGACACAGGUAGUCAAGAUGAGAAUUCUAAGGUGAGCGAGCGAACUCUCGUUAAGGAACUCGGCAAAAUGACCCCGUAACUUCGGGAGAAGGGGUGCUCUUUAGGGUUAACGCCCAGAAGAGCCGCAGUGAAUAGGCCCAAGCGACUGUUUAUCAAAAACACAGGUCUCUGCUAAACCGUAAGGUGAUGUAUAGGGGCUGACGCCUGCCCGGUGCUGGAAGGUUAAGAGGAGUGGUUAGCUUCUGCGAAGCUACGAAUCGAAGCCCCAGUAAACGGCGGCCGUAACUAUAACGGUCCUAAGGUAGCGAAAUUCCUUGUCGGGUAAGUUCCGACCCGCACGAAAGGCGUAACGAUUUGGGCACUGUCUCAACGAGAGACUCGGUGAAAUCAUAGUACCUGUGAAGAUGCAGGUUACCCGCGACAGGACGGAAAGACCCCGUGGAGCUUUACUGUAGCCUGAUAUUGAAAUUCGGCACAGCUUGUACAGGAUAGGUAGGAGCCUUUGAAACGUGAGCGCUAGCUUACGUGGAGGCGCUGGUGGGAUACUACCCUAGCUGUGUUGGCUUUCUAACCCGCACCACUUAUCGUGGUGGGAGACAGUGUCAGGCGGGCAGUUUGACUGGGGCGGUCGCCUCCUAAAAGGUAACGGAGGCGCUCAAAGGUUCCCUCAGAAUGGUUGGAAAUCAUUCAUAGAGUGUAAAGGCAUAAGGGAGCUUGACUGCGAGACCUACAAGUCGAGCAGGGUCGAAAGACGGACUUAGUGAUCCGGUGGUUCCGCAUGGAAGGGCCAUCGCUCAACGGAUAAAAGCUACCCCGGGGAUAACAGGCUUAUCUCCCCCAAGAGUUCACAUCGACGGGGAGGUUUGGCACCUCGAUGUCGGCUCAUCGCAUCCUGGGGCUGUAGUCGGUCCCAAGGGUUGGGCUGUUCGCCCAUUAAAGCGGUACGCGAGCUGGGUUCAGAACGUCGUGAGACAGUUCGGUCCCUAUCCGUCGUGGGCGUAGGAAAUUUGAGAGGAGCUGUCCUUAGUACGAGAGGACCGGGAUGGACAUACCUCUGGUGUACCAGUUGUCGUGCCAACGGCAUAGCUGGGUAGCUAUGUGUGGACGGGAUAAGUGCUGAAAGCAUCUAAGCAUGAAGCCCCCCUCAAGAUGAGAUUUCCCAACUUCGGUUAUAAGAUCCCUCAAAGAUGAUGAGGUUAAUAGGUUCGAGGUGGAAGCAUGGUGACAUGUGGAGCUGACGAAUACUAAUCGAUCGAAGACUUAAUCAA